AGUGAACGCUGGCGGCGUGCCUAAUACAUGCAAGUCGAACGCAGUGGGGACGGGUGAGUAACACGUGGGUAACCUCCCAUCAGAGGGGAUAACACUUGGAAACAGGUGCUAAACCGAUACUGAUGGAUGGACCCGCGGUGCAUUAGCUAGUUGGUGAGGUAACGGCUCACCAAGGCCACGAUGCAUAGUCGACCUGAGAGGGUGAUGGGCCACACUGGGACUGAGACACGGCCCAGACUCAUACGGGAGGCGGCAGUAGGAAAUAUGCGGCAAGGUAAGAAAGUCUGAUCGAGCAACGCCGCGUGAGUGAAGAAGGUUUUCGGAUCGUAAAUCUCUGUUGUUAGUGAAGCGGUAUCUAACCAGAAAGCCACGGCUAACUACGUGCCCGCCGCCGCGGUAAUAC
rnacentral:rRNA from 1 species